rnacentral:sRNA from 1 species
GCCAGGCCCAGUGGUGCUCGCCUGUAAUCCCAAUGGCUCGGGAGGCUGAGGCAGGAGGUUCAUUAGUUGAAAGCCAGCCUCAACAAUGGGCUAAGCACUAAGCAACUCAGUGAGACCCUGUCUCUA